UACGAAGGGGGCUAGCGUUGUUCGGAAUCAUUGGGCGUAAAGGGUGCGUAGGCGGUCUGCCAAGUUUGAUGUGAAAUCCCGGGGCUCAACCCUGGAAUUGCAUUGAAUACUGGCGGACUAGAGUACCGGAGAGGAAACUGGAAUUUACGGUGUAGCAGUGAAAUGCGUAGAGAUCGUAAGGAAGACCAGUGGCGAAGGCGAGUUCCUGGACAGUUACUGACGCUGAGGCACGAAGGCCAGGGGAGCAAACGGG
rnacentral:rRNA from 1 species